rnacentral:rRNA from 1 species
GAAGGCGGCCCCCUGGACAAAGACUGACGCUCAGGUGCGAAAGCGUGGGGAGCAAACAGGAUUAGCUACCCUGGUACUCCACGCUGUAAACGAUGUCGAUUUAGAGGUUGUGGUCUUGAACCGUGGCUUCUGGAGCUAACGCGUUAAAUCGACCGCCUGGGGAGUACGGCCGCAAGGUUAAAACUCAAAUGAAUUGACGGGGGCCCGCACAAGCGGUGGAGCAUGUGGUUUAAUUCGAUGCAACGCGAAGAACCUUACCUACUCUUGACAUCCAGCGAAUCCUUUAGAGAUAGAGGAGUGCCUUCGGGAACGCUGAGACAGGUGCUGCAUGGCUGUCGUCAGCUCGUGUUGUGAAAUGUUGGGUUAAGUCCCGCAACGAGCGCAACCCUUAUCCUUUGUUGCCAGCACGUAAUGGUGGGAACUCAAAGGAGACUGCCGGUGAUAAACCGGAGGAAGGUGGGGAUGACGUCAAGUCAUCAUGGCCCUUACGAGUAGGGCUACACACGUGCUACAAUGGCAGAUACAAAGAGAAGCGACCUCGCGAGAGCAAGCGGAACUCAUAAAGUCUGUCGUAGUCCGGAUUGGAGUCUGCAACUCGACUCCAUGAAGUCGGAAUCGCUAGUAAUCGUAGAUCAGAAUGCUACGGUGAAUACGUUCCCGGGCCUUGUACACACCGCCCGUCACACCAUGGGAGUGGGUUGCAAAAGAAGUAGGUAGCUUAACCUUCGGGAGGGCGCUUACCACUUUGUGAUUCAUGACUGGGGUGAAGUCGUAACAAGGUAACCAAGGGCGAAUUCGCGGCC